rnacentral:rRNA from 1 species
AUGGAAAAAUGUGGGAUCCGCAAAUACCGUAUUAUGGAUAUUUUAUGCUUUCAAUACGGUGGAUUUGAUAAGGUUGGAUGCAUAAAGAGGGACAUUUAUAAUUUUUGCCAUGCUAAUAAGCAGGAGACAAUCAGUGCCGGUGAUGCUAAUACGGUGAUCAUGCACAUGAUGGCGAGGCGAGAGCAAGAUAUGGAUUUUUUCUUCAAGUACUUGGUAGACGAGCAUGGCCAUCUGAAGGGACUAUUCUAG